rnacentral:lncRNA from 1 species
AAUAGAUAAAUUUGAUAAUAUCUUAUAGAAAAGCUUCAUAGACACAACUUUACUUUUAUAUGUGUCUACAGGUGAUUGAUAGAUUGAAAACUUACUCAAUAAGUUGGCCAUGGUUUGUACAUAUUGAUAACUUAUUGUAUAAAUUCGACAUAUUGUGCACAUAUAAGAAGUUUUUUUUACAAGUAAGACAUAUAUCCAAGAAGUUAGACAUGUAUUAGAGGUCUUGUAGAAUGUCACCACAUAGCUUUUAGUUAUAUAGUAUAUAUAGAAGAAAGACUAAGGCCUUUCUUACUCUUAUAAAUUCAUUUCUUGCUUUUAAUUUAAUUUGAAGGAUCUCUAGUUUUUUUUGUCUUUUAGUAAUAUCCAUUCUAGUUUUUGUUUUUUAAUAUAUGCAUAUGUACUUAUCACUCUUUUGU